rnacentral:lncRNA from 1 species
GGCUUUCUGAUAUAAAAAUCUUUCUAUAGAGAGAUGAACUAAGAUUGCUUCAAGGUUAAGGGUCUCUGGAGCCCAUUCCAUGAAGAUAUAUUACAGUAGAGAUGAUCAAGUGCAGAGAUGUCACCUGAGAAGAUUGUACAAGGUUUCUCAAGUUGGCUUAUGAGGAAACUGAGUCCCAGAGAGGGGCAAUGACUUAUACAAGUUUUCCAUGGGGCCUGGUGGAAGACUAGGACGGUCAACAGCAGCCUGGAGAGCCUGGAGUCUGCGUCAAUAUGCAACCCUAGCCCUGCACGCUGGGCGUUUGCCUGAGGUUUCCAGUGCACCGGAGGCGCGUACUCGUCUGCCUAAGAGGUGUCUGAGGCGCAUGGCCCCGGGAGAGGAGGAGAAUGGGACGGUGGUUCAGAUCUGCUGAUGUAGCUGUGGUCAGUCACUGGGGAGAAUAGGCCUGUGGAUUUCUGCUCCUCUGAGAUGGAUCCAUCACUGACUACUGAACUUGUUUUCUCAUUGGCUCAACUUAAGAAGGUUCUAGAGGAUCAAGGACGUGAAACAACCAAAACCAAAGAGCAGCUGGAGACCACUUGCCAGUGAUUAGCACGAGGGAACUGACUUCUUCCUCCUCAUGGUCCACUUGAAAUUCCAGGAAAAGGAACAGAUGUGCAAGGAAUUGCAGCCUGGAGAAACAUAGUGUAUUUGGAGACUUGCAUGUAAAUGGAUAAGUAGGUGUAGGAGGAGAAGCUGGGUCACAUUUUCCUAAAUUUUAUUCCACAAAACACUAGUUCUGUGAGACGCUCUAUGGAAAUUGGUCCCAUGAUCAGUACAUUUGGGGCAUGCUGCAUGUUGUAUUCCCUGUUGUCUUAUAUUGGAUUUCCUAAAAAUAGACUCUGAGGUGGAGACUUAUGUGCAGAAGGUCUCUUGGCGAAUGCUCCAGGGAGGCGUGCGUGUAAGGAAGUGAGACAGACCCACCUCAGGCCCCUGGGACUUCCACUGGCCAGACGCCCUGUGCCUACUUGUGUCAUGGGAUACAGGGCCCAUCUCUUCCCAUCUCCACACUCUGACCACACGCUAGUAGCUUGAAAUCAGCCAUGGUGCAACUAUUGGCAUCACAAAAAUGGACAAAUGCUUCAAACUGGGGCCUGACUUAUUGUUUUGUUGAUUGCCAGGCUUAAAAAGUGAUGGAAAGGAUGCUAAUAAUGCAUAUUAAACCAAAAAAGUGCGUCAUGUCUGUAGCUGUGACAUUGUGAAUAGCACAAGCAUUGAGGUUACAUGCUUCUGAUAUUUGAAAACCCUUAUUGGAUUCAACAAAGAAUUCACUCAUGUCAUUGUCUAUCAGGUGAAGCUCUGAUGCACAUUUUUUGCUUUCACUUUUGCCUUAUUCAUUAAUAUAAACAGAAUGUCAAUCAACCUUCAUGUUGUGUCUACGCUCAAUCAUCCCUGAUGACCCUACGCUGACUACAGAUGCAGAAUUCAGCAAAAACCAAUGAAAGCAUUCGGUGAGAAUCAAUGGCUAUAUGGAGCUUACAAUAAACCGUAUUGUGUAUUUUAUUAUUACGUAUACGUUGUGUGUUACAUAUCUGUUAUAUCAGCACAAUUUAUAGUAAAAUCAUGUAGUUGGUGAACAUUUACCAGCAUAUCACUGGGGCUGGUGGAGUUUGGGUGGGAGCAUCUGAGAUUGCCGUUGGAGAAUGCUGCAGCCAAAGUCUACUGGCAAAGACAUCCCGUGCCUCUCAGGACUGGCA